AGAAUCAACGCUGGCGGCGUGCCUCAGACAUGCAAGUCGAACGCGAAAGUCCCCUUCGGGGGACAAGUAGGGUGGCGCACGGGUGAGUAACACGUAGGUAAUCUACCUUCGGAUGGGGAAUAACAAUCGGAAACGGUUGCUAAUACCGCAUAAUGCAGCGGCACCUAAUGGUGACAGUUGUUAAAGCGGGGGAUCGAAAGACCUCGCGUCUGAAGAGGAGCCUGCGGCGGAUUAGCUAGUUGGUAAGGUAAUGGCUUACCAAGGCGACGAUCC
rnacentral:rRNA from 1 species